rnacentral:tRNA from 1 species
CAAAGGAUAGUUUAAAAAAAAUAUUAAUUUUGGAAAUUAAUGAUAAGAAUUUCUUUCCUUUGA